ACAGGUAGCCUAAAUACCUUAAAGACACUAUAUCCCAUCUGAUCAUGGAAGCUAAGCAAGGUCAGACCUGGUUAGUACAUGAAUGGGAGACGACCAGUGCCUACCAGGUGCAGUAGGCU
rnacentral:rRNA from 1 species